rnacentral:rRNA from 1 species
UACGUAGGGGGCAAGCGUUGUCCGGAAUCAUUGGGUCGUAAAGCGCGUGUAGGCGGCCCGAUAAGUCCGCUGUGAAAGUCCAGGGCUCAACCCUGGAAUGCCGGUGGAUACUGUCGGGCUCGAGUCCGGAAGAGGCGAGUGGAAUUCCUGGUGUAGCGGUGAAAUGCGCAGAUAUCAGGAGGAACACCGAUGGCGAAGGCAGCUCGCUGGGACGGUACUGACGCUGAGACGCGAAAGCGUGGGGAGCAAACAGG